rnacentral:tRNA from 1 species
GACUGGAUAGCCUAGCAGUAAAGACAUCACAUUGACAAUGCUGAGGUCCCAGGUUCAAAUCCUGGUCUAGUCA